UACAGAGGGCGCGAGCGUUGUCCGGAAUCACUGGGCGUAAAGGGCGCGUAGGUGGCCACUAUAAGGCCGUGGGGAAAGUUCGGGGCUCAACCCUGAAUCUGCCGCGGCGACUGUAGGGCUUGGGCACCGUAGAGGCAGAUGGAAUUCCGGGUGUAGCGGUGGAAUGCGUAGAGAUCCGGAAGAACACCGGGGGCGAAGGCGGCUCGCUGGGCAUGGUCCGACGCUGAGGCGCGAAAGCGUGGGGAGCGAACAGG
rnacentral:rRNA from 1 species